rnacentral:lncRNA from 1 species
GGGAAGUGCUGGGAAAACCCCAUGAGUGGAGAAGCAGGUAUAUACUCCCAGGACCAGAAGGGAAGCGCACGUUUCAUCUGAGCUGGCACAGAGCUGGACAAAGCUGCUUCACUGCUGCAACACUGGGGCUGCCCACUGUUUGGUCCUGCUACCUCCCAUUGCACCCAUUGCUUAAUGAGAGAACUGCAUGAUGAGCUGCUACCAGCACCUUCAAAGCACGUCCUCAUGGAUUUAAUCAAUCCCUAAGAUGACAACAAGGCACCUCACCACUGCAGCUCUGGCAUCCCCCAGUGCUAUUGGAACGGUGCUGGCAGCACUAGCUCUGACCCGGACAUCCGGGGACACUUUGGAAUGGAGUCUCCUUCCUCUGCCCCGUGCCAGAGGAUGUGUCCCAUUGCAGCCAGAGCCUGCCCAGAGCGUGGCACCGCGCUGCUCAGCCAGCAAGGUGCAGCUCAGGAAGCCUGGGAAUCAGCAGCUUGCAUCAAUGCUUGCAUCUCCUGGUGGCCUGCAGACAGAGAAUGGCUCCAAGCAGGAAGGUCGUGAACAGAAAAGCAUCUUUGAAGGCAAAGAAGGCUUCACCCCUCUACAAAUCAAGGAGCUCGGAGCGAGAGUGGUUGAAGGGACAGAGAAGAGAGAAUGUGACCAGAGAAGACGUUAUGAUUUGAAACGAGCAAUCAGUUUCGUGAUGCUGUCUCACUGAUUAACGCGCACAAACGAGCUCUGCCCCAGGAUCAGAAAUGCCCUGUUCCAUUCAAUCUCAGUUCUUUGCAGGCACUGUUCUCAGAAAGGUGUAUGAUUGUUAAAUCAGAGUCCUGCAGAUGCCUGCAACAGCAGCUUUCUGUUGUUGUUGUUAAACUUUCUGCAGUAAAUGAUCCAUAGUGGCAAGGCUGACAACAAAGCAGUCGGUCUGCAGUGCUCGUUGGAGUUCUGAUUUCAGCUUUGGGAAUCCAAGAAAAAUAUCAAGGAAGACUUAUCUGUAUCUCAGAUCAGGAACAUUUUCAGUCUGUUUCUGUAUGUAUAUGUAAUGCAUGUCUACAAUCAUAAAUAUCAGGUGGAACAGCCAAUUUGUUCAUACAGAAUGUAUAAAUGGAACAGAAAGACAGGGAAGUAAAAUAGCAACUAUUUUAAAAACAGAAUAACUGUGCUAGGUCAAGUUAUUUCCAGAAUCACUACAAAUACUGCGGGUAACAUAGAAGAUUUCUAUUUCUAAGUCUUGCUCCUUUCUAAUCCUUAAAUUAACGAGCGUUGUCGAUACAAUUAUGCAGUGGGCUCUAGGCUGGCCUCCCCUCUGCUCAAAGUCAGAAACCAACCUAACCUCCAGCAUGCCGCGCUAACACAGUGCUUCGCUCAGCUCGCGUGUGGUGUGGUACUGAACAGCCAAACGGAGAGGAAAAUAUUUCCUUUGCGUUUACUGCCUACUCGUGUCAGAAGUGGUACGAAGGUGGUCGACAGCUCCGUUUUCUACCAACAGACAGCAGGCUUCACGCACUAAGGCAGAAGAGAUUAAUACCGCAUUAGUAACAUCUCGCUCACCGUUGUCACUGUAAAACGGCUUCAAACAUUCCUUACGCAGAGCAGACAAUGCAGGCAUGCUUUCUUUCCUUUCUUUAUCUCCCUCGUCCCUUCACCCACUGUUUGAUACCUCGAUUUGCCCGUGUCUGGGUGCUGGAAAUACCACUGAGAGCGCGGCUCAGCAGGGU